CACUGGACUCAGGAAGCCUGUAGAGGGAGGACACAGGACAGUGACAUCACAAGAUACUCCUUGCAUCAGCAAAAUCAAGGCCCAGAACUCACUCAGCUCUUCCCCAGGAGGACCAAGCCCUGCGUCAGGUGCAGUGCUGCCUGCCCCACUGUGCCAUGGGCCCCGGGCUCCUCUGCUGGGCGCUGCUCUGUCUCCUGGGAGCAGGCCCAGUGGACACUGGAGUCACCCAAAGUCCCACACACCUGAUCAAAACGAGAGGACAGCAAGUGACUCUGAGAUGCUCUCCUAUCUCUGGGCACACUAGUGUGUCCUGGUACCAACAGGCCCCUGGUCAGGGGCCCCAGUUUAUCUUCGAGUAUGCUAAUGAGUUAAGGACAUCAGAAGGAAACUUCCCUCAUCGAUUCUCAGGGCGCCAGUUCCGUGACUAUCACUCUGAGAUGAAUGUGAGUGCCUUGGAGCUGGGGGACUCGGCCCUGUAUCUCUGUGCCAGCAGCUUGGCACAGCCUGGCAGAGUCACUGGAACUCUGUGUACUAAUCUCUCUGCUUCCGUGUACAGCAGUCUCAGACCAGACAGCUGUGAGAAAGGCUGGCGGAAACAAGGCCAGGAGGAUCUGCUCAGAGGAUGCUGCUGCUUCAGGAGGUUCACAGCAAAAUUACCUUCUUUGUCGGAUGCCGAACACUAUAAUGAUACAGUAGCUGGCACUCUCCUUUUUAGAAAAAGAAAUUCAUUUUGGUGUCAGGAUUGUUCGACAGAUGUGUAG